rnacentral:lncRNA from 1 species
UUUUGUCUUGGUUUCUAUAGUCCUAUGAACUUUUGAUGGAAGGUUUCAUAUUAGGCUGUGCAGUUUGACCUGCAGGCCAGUGGAUGGCGUUUGCAGGUGAGAGCCAGCUACCACACAAGCAGCUGGGUUUGGACCUGAUCUCUGUUAUUGUGAUGUGCUGUCCUGUUGUUUCUGGUGACGGGCUAGUGGGAUGUCUAGUUCCCUGAGCCUCCUUUCCUAUGAGAGGGGCGGGAUACAGUUGGGCAGAGCUGGAGCCCCUGGAUUACUCACGAAUGUCCUGAUGGCAAGUGCAGGCACCAGCCCUAAUGAGACUGGCUCGGAGGAGCUCCUGGUGUAGAGCACUGAGGUUUUUGUUAGGCCAGUGGUUGGUAAGGGACCUGCGCUGCUCCCUGUCCUAGAUAGCCAGGAAUGUGAUUUUUUAUUUUUACCUGUCACACCCUGUUCCAUGGCUCAUGACUCCUAGUUCAGAGGCAGACUAUAGUCUAUCUCCAGACCACAAUGGGAUUGAGAGCCACAGGGAACAUCUGUUUUGCUACUCUCCAUGGGAGUGGUUGCAAGGCAUAACCUCGUCCUACAACCUGACGCAGAUAGCUUUAAUACUUGCCUGUUCUCUGAUGUGGCAGUACUACUGCCUAUUGUAAAAGGUCUCCACACUUGAUCCCAUGCUCAUGUUAGUUGGUUGUGGUGGUAUCAGUUGAUUGGGUUAGCCCAACCUCAGGCCCUAGAGGAAGUGGUCAGGUGCCAAUAGAGUUGGAAUGGGGCAGGUUGUUCUCCAGUUCCCAAGCCCCUAAAUGGCACACUGGGCAGCUUGCAUAAGUCCUGGCAGGGCUGCAUUUCAGUCGAGCUAGUCCAGGUGCUGGCUUUGAGUGGGAUGGGCAGGCUGGUCCCCAGGACACUGGCCAGAUUCUCAGGCAGGGGCAGACAGUACACUUAGGUGAUGGGAACCUGAGGGAAUGUCACAGAUCUGUUGGGGUUGAGUUUUCAGAGGAACUCUGAACCACAAGUGGAAUGAUUUGGUGAGGCCAGGACAGCUGUGCUGUGGGGCUUUUACUGGGAAAUACAGGUCUCCUCAACUGGGCAAUGGAGAUUGACAGCUGUGGACCAUGUGGCACACUCACACGUCCCUUCCAUAGAAGCAAUGUUGAGGUUAACUGUUGGGAGCAUGCAGAGGUGCCAAGCAUUGUUACCUCUGGGAGUUUUACUCCAGAGGAACACAGCGGCACAACCAACCAUAGUGGUCAGGUCGGGGUAAGAUUGUUGCACCAGAAGCCCAAACCAAUGAGCCUUACCUAACUAGAAGCAGCAGGGGCAGGGGAUU